rnacentral:rRNA from 1 species
CUAAGAAUAUUCCACAAUGGACGGAAGUCUGAUGGAGCGACGCCGCGUGUACGAAGAAGGCCGAAAGGUUGUAAAGUACUUUUGCGGAUGAAGAAUAAGCUUAGGAGGGAAUGCCCGAGUGAUGACGUUAGUCCGUGAAUAAGCCCCGGCUAAUUACGUGCCAGCAGCCGCGGUAACACGUAAGGGGCGAGCGUUGUUCGGAAUUAUUGGGCGUAAAGGGCGCGUAGGCGGUUACGGAAGUCUGGCGUGAAAGGCGUGAGCUUAACUCAUGGAUUGCGUUGGAAACUGGGUAACUAGAGUCAUGGAGGGGGAGUUGGAAUUCCUGGUGUAGGGGUGAAAUCUGUAGAUAUCAGGAAGAACACCGGUGGCGAAGGCGAACUUCUAGCCGAUGACUGACGCUGAGGCGCGAAAGUGCGGGGAGCAAACAGGAUUAGAUACCCUGGUAGUCCGCACUAUAAACGAUGUGCACUAGGUGUUGGGCCGAGCGGUUCAGUGCCGGAGCGAACGCGAUAAGUGCACCGCCU